GUAAUUUCUCCCCUAGCAAGAAUGAGGAAGAUGAAGAGCUCGGGUAUCUGAGGGCUGGUGUGUCUGCAUGCGUGUGUGUUUUGGGGGCCGACUGAAGGAAGAGAAGGCUGGAGAGAGGGAACAUGGGUCUGAGGGCACAUCGCUAAGGGGUCAAGAGGCCUAAAGGAGGAGUCUAAGGCUCUCCAUCGAACUUGGACUUGGUCUACAUUAGACUUUAACCUCCAUGAGGCUUGGACUUUCAGGCUUCCUCCCUCACACCGCGGGCAGGUGAGGCGUCUGCUACAGGCCUGGUCUCGCAGAGGGGGCCCAGCGCCCCCCGCCGCCGCCUUCUCCUGGAGUCUGUGUGACAGAAUGGGACCUGUGGGAAAGCAGCACGUCAGCACCCAGCCCCGCUUGCGCGCCAGCAGCUAAUUAAAGCCAGGAAGGUGAUGGCGAUUUUCAACUCAUUCCCGUUACAAACAGCCGACCUUCCUACCGAGUUCAAGUACCUUCUGCCUGGCCUGGAAGAACAAUAUCUCUCUGUCUCCCUCUUCCACUGGCCCUCACCUGCCUUCCCCUGAACAUGCAUUUUGCCUGACAGGAGACAGAGGCAGUUGAGAUGGAGUCUUGCUAUAUGGCCCAGCUGGUAAUGCCUAGAUUCUUGAGUCCCUCCCUGGCUCAUCCCUGGGAGCAGCACUGAACCCCUUGUCUGACACCUGUCUGGAAAUGGAGCCUGCACAUUGACCCUAGCCAUGUGUGGUCUUGUUACU
rnacentral:lncRNA from 1 species